ACGAAUUGCAGAACCUCGUGAAUCAUCAAAAUUUUGAACGCACAUUGCGUUUUUGGGUUAUUCCCAAGAGCAUGCUUAUCUGAGUGUCCCUAA
rnacentral:rRNA from 1 species